UACGUAGGUGGCAAGCGUUGUCCGGAUUUAUUGGGUUUAAAGGGUGCGUAGGCGGCUUUAUAAGUCAGUGCUGAAAUAUCCCGGCUUAACCGGGAGGGUGGCAUUGAUACUGCAGAGCUUGAGUGAAGUCGAGGUAGGCGGAAUUGACGGUGUAGCGGUGAAAUGCUUAGAUAUCGUCAAGAACACCGAUAGUGAAGACAGCUUACUAGACUUCAACUGACGCUGAGGCACGAAAGCGUGGGGAGCGAACAGG
rnacentral:rRNA from 1 species